UGGACUGAGGCUGGCACGCCCAUUCCUUUGCCUCUCUGAUUUCAGUGAGAUGAUUCUUCAUCAAAACAGGGCACCCAGAUCUCCAGACACAGGACCCCAUCUCUCCUGUUUGUGUCUGCUUUCCUGGGUUGAAAACACCUCGUGAAUGGUAAAUCCCAAAGCUUUACCAUUUCAACCUUAGCUCUGCACCCAGUCAGAAAGGAUGUCCGCUGCUGUGGUCUUACCUCUCAUCCCACAUGCCCUGACCACUAGAAGCAAAUGCUUCCUUGAUUCCAAGAGUCAGGCUGUGGCUGUGCAGAGUGACCAGGCAAAGAACAUGUAAGCAUUACUCUGCUAAAGCAGCUUGGUCAUGCAAUGGUAACCAGGGUAGGAAAGUUCAUGUCCAGAAGCCCUGCACAGAGUCUGUUGUCUUAAUUAUUUCUAGGAGUGCAUCCUUCUGCAUUCCCCAAGGAGAUGAUAAACUCUUCCACAGAAAGAGCUGCAGCAUUUCAUUCCCCAGUGGCCCAGCAUAGAGAAGAUGUUGUGUUACUAAUUGGGUUGGGCCAAAUUAAUCUAUUCCUGAUAGGCCAAAGAAGCAUCUCUGUCUCUUUCUGGGUUUCCAGGGCUCUUACCAGACAGCUCUGGGGUUUCCUGGCAUACCUACAAUGUGAUUAGAAUUUGGCCUGUUGUGAUUGUCAAAAUGGGCCAGGCAUGGUGGCUUAUGCCUGUAAUCCCAGCACUUUGGGAGGCCGAGGCAGGUGGAUCACUUGAGGUCAGGAGUUCGAGACCAGCCUGACCAACAUGGUGAAACCCUGUCUCUACUAAAAAUACAAAAUUAGCCAGGCACGGUGUCGGGUGCCUGUAAUCCCAGCUACUUGGGAGGCUGAGGCAGGAGAAUUGCUUGAACUCAGGAGGCAGAGAUUGCAGUGAGCCAAGAUCAUGCCACCACACUCCAGCCUAGGCAACACAGUGAGACUCUCUCUCUCAAAAAAAAAAAAAUCUAGACUAUGAUCAUGGCAAGUUAGCAAGAGGCUAUAAAAUUUAUCUGUCACUCAGAAUCUAUUUUUUAAUACCUUUAUGUUGGUUGUGCUUUAGAUUCUCUUGGAAAAUCAUGAGAGGGAAGAGCCCUAGAGUGCAGAGGAAAGCACUCUGAGGGCUUGGUCUUUAAAGUUUGCUCCUCUCCCCGCAACAUACACACACACACACAUCCAUGCAUCCACACACACGCACACCUUCAUCUGGGAGCAGCAGAGCUAGCUCUUCCCCACCCAUUUUCUCUUUCAUUCAGUUUAACUUAAUAGGAACUGAGGCUUAGACAGCAAAUAGUGCUCAAUAACAAUAAUCAUAGCCCGAA
rnacentral:lncRNA from 10 species